rnacentral:rRNA from 1 species
GAUGAACGCUGGCGGCGUGCCUAAUACAUGCGAGUCGAGCGAACAGAUGAGGAGCUUGCUCCUCUGACGUUAGCGGCGGACGGGUGAGUAACACGUGGAUAACCUACCUAUAAGACUGGGAUAACUUCGGGAAACCGGAGCUAAUACCGGAUAAUAUAUUGAACCGCAUGGUUCAAUAGUGAAAGACGGUUUUGCUGUCACUUAUAGAUGGAUCCGCGCCGCAUUAGCUAGUUGGUAAGGUAACGGCUUACCAAGGCAACGAUGCGUAGCCGACCUGAGAGGGUGAUCCGGCACACUGGAACUGAGACACGGUCCCGACUCCCACGGGAGGCAGCCGUAGGGAAUCCUCCGCAAUGGGCGAAAGCCUGACGGAGCCACGCCGCGUGGGUGAUGAAGGUCUUCCGAUCGUAAAACUCUGUUAUUAGGGAAGAACAAAUGUGUAAGUAACUAUGCACGUCUUGACGGUACCUAAUCAGAAAGCCACGGCUAACUACGUG